rnacentral:rRNA from 2 species
AGGUCUCCUGAAGGAACGUUGAAGACGACGACGUUGAUAGGCCGGGUGUGUAAGCGCAGCGAUGCGUUGAGCUAACCGGUACUAAUGAACCGUGAGGCUUAACCUUACAACGCCGAAGGUGUUU